rnacentral:piRNA from 1 species
UUCUACAAACUCUUUCUCUCAAUAGUUAGU